AUUGAACGCUGGCGGCAUGCCUUACACAUGCAAGUCGAACGGCAGCACGGGAGCAAUCCUGGUGGCGAGUGGCGAACGGGUGAGUAAUAUAUCGGAACGUGCCCAGUCGUGGGGGAUAACGCAGCGAAAGCUGUGCUAAUACCGCAUACGAUCUAAGGAUGAAAGCGGGGGAUCGCAAGACCUCGCGCGAUUGGAGCGGCCGAUAUCAGAUUAGCUAGUUGGUGGGGGAAAGGCCCAACAAGGCGACGAUCUGUAGCUGGUCUGAGAGGACGACCAGCCACACGGGAACUGAGCCCCAGUCCAGACUCCUACGGGAGGCAGCAGUGGGGAAUUUUGGACAAUGGGCGCAAGCCUGAUCCAGCAAUGCCGCGUGCAGGAUGAAGGCCUUCGGGUUGUAAGCUGCUUUUGUACGGAACGAAACGGCCCUUUCUAAUACAGGGGGCUAAUGACGGUACCGUAAGAAUAAGCACCGGCUAACUUCGUGCCAGCCGCCGCAGUAA
rnacentral:rRNA from 1 species